UUAAAUAUAGCCAUAAAAUUUAGUCAGUAUAGUAUCCAAAUAUGAUAAAAAGUGGAUUUUGGAUGUUUUUCAAAUCCGACAAUCCGUAGAACGAUCAUGACGAAAUGUCAUUGCCUGCGCAGAAUCGAUUUAUAGGUAUCACUUGGGCGGUGGUGUGCUGCGGCGGAAGAGUGACGUGGCGAUCGCGUGAUUGGUAAAUCAGUUGACAUUUGUGUUGUGUCCCGCGAUGCGCAAACUUUCCCCCACUCCCUUGUUUAAUGCUCAAGAAGUUUGCCGGUAUCUGUACACAAGUGCAAUCAUCAUUCAUCUGUUGUCUUUCACGACGCCCACAAUUUGCGACUGCAUACCAUAAAGAAGACACGAAGAUAUCCUGAAAGGUUACUUGGGCCUUCGGGCCGGCCAGACAGUGCUUAGAUUGAUCGAGUACCCUUCGUAGGUAGGAGGAAAAGUACGCCAUCCUUCUUCCACUAAAGGUCAACUUUUAUUUUUUCAAUUCAGAAAAUAUAUAAUCAUAAAAAAUCAACUUCAUUUCUUUUAUAAUAGAAACAACCAAACGCGACUAUAAAUUGACGAUCCGUGUAAGCUAUCCAUAAUAAAUUUUCUCAUAUA